UACGUAGGGGGCUAGCGUUGUCCGGAAUCAUUGGGCGUAAAGAGCGCGUAGGCGGCCAGAUAAGUCCGGUGUGAAAGUCACAGGCUCAACCUGUGAAUGCCGCUGGAAACUGUCUGGCUAGAGUCCGGAAGGGGCGAGUGGAAUUCCUGGUGUAGCGGUGAAAUGCGCAGAUAUCGUCAAGAACACCGAUAGCGAAGGCAGCUUACCAAGCUGUAACUGACACUGAGGCACGAAAGUGUGGGGAUCAAACAGG
rnacentral:rRNA from 1 species